rnacentral:rRNA from 1 species
AGCGUAUAUUAAAGUUGUUGCAGUUAAAAAGCUCGUAGUUGAAUUUCGGGAUCAAUACGUCGGUCGUGCUUCGGUACGUACUGGCGUANNUGAUUUCUCCCUUCUGACGAACCAUGAUGUCAUUAACUUGGUGUCAUGGGAAAUCAGGACUGUUACUUUGAAAAAAUUAGAGUGUUUAAAGCAGGCUCACGCUUGAAUACAUUAGCAUGGAAUAAUGAAAUAGGACGUUCGAUCCUAUUUUGUUGGUUUUUAGGAUCAACGUAAUGAUUAAUAAGGAUAGUUGGGGGCAUUAGUAUUCAAUUGUCAGAGGUGAAAUUCUUGGAUUUAUUGAAGACUAACUACUGCGAAAGCAUUUGCCAAGGAUGUUUUCAUUAAUCAAGAACGAAAGUUAGGGGAUCGAAGACGAUCAGAUACCGUCGUAGUCUUAACCAUAAACUAUGCCGACUAGGGAUCGGAUGAUGUUAAUUUUUUAAUGACUCAUUC